rnacentral:rRNA from 1 species
CCUACGGGAGGCAGCAGUGGGGAAUCUUGGACAAUGGGCGCAAGCCUGAUCCAGCCAUGCCGCGUGAGUGAAGAAGGCCCUAGGGUUGUAAAGCUCUUUCGGCGGGGACGAUAAUGACGGUACCCGCAGAAGAAGCCCCGGCUAACUCCGUGCCAGCAGCCGCGGUAAUACGGAGGGGGCUAGCGUUGUUCGGAAUUACUGGGCGUAAAGCGCACGUAGGCGGACUGUUAAGUCGGGGGUGAAAUCCUGGGGCUCAACCUCAGAAUUGCCUCCGAUACUGGCAGUCUCGAGUGCGGGAGAGGUGAGUGGAAUUCCCAGUGUAGAGGUGAAAUUCGUAGAUAUUGGGAAGAACACCAGUGGCGAAGGCGGCUCACUGGCCCGUAACUGACGCUGAGGUGCGAAAGCGUGGGGAGCAAACAGGAUUAGAUACCCCAGUAGUC